rnacentral:rRNA from 1 species
GACAGAGGGUGCAAACGUUGUUCGGAAUUACUGGGCGUAAAGCGUGCGCAGGCGGUUCGUUGUGUCCGAUGUGAAAGCCCCGGGCUUAACCUGGGAAUGGCAUUGGAAACUGGCGGGCUUGAGUGCGGCAGAGGGGGGUGGAAUUCCGCGUGUAGCAGUGAAAUGCGUAGAGAUGCGGAGGAACACCGAUGGCGAAGGCAGCCCCCUGGGUCGACACUGACGCUCAGGCACGAAAGCGUGGGGAGCAAACAGG